GCAGUUUGCAGCAAGCUCUCGAAUCCGCCUGGUGAUUGGGGUGACCGCGAACCUGGCCUGAGACCCCGGAUACUUGAGUUUUCGGGGGUCUAACAUUUUGGGGGCUCGUCCGGGAUUUGCGACCACCCUUCACCUGAGUGGAUUCGAUCUUGGAGGGGUCUUUUCUUCUCUGAGCACAUGGCGCCACCUCAACUGUUAUCGGCAGAUGCGCCGGAGGACAGACUGCCACUCUGAGGACACCCAGGACCCAAGAGUUUAUAAUGUCAGACAGACCGCCAGAUCCGGACAGUGACCCAAAGUCUCCAAAGAAGAUUACGAGGCACCUCAGUUCCUGCACCUGGACCAGUGAGCGAGAUGCUCAGAUGUGAAACCUGCCGCCUGCCAGAACCUGGCC
rnacentral:lncRNA from 1 species